rnacentral:rRNA from 1 species
UGGGGAAUCUUGCGCAAUGGGCGAAAGCCUGACGGAGCGACGCCGCGUGUAGGAUGAAGGCCCUCGGGUUGUAAACUACUGUCACGGGUUAUGAAUGUGCAUAUGUUAACAGCGUGUGUAUUGACGUAAGCCCGAAAGGAAGCACCGGCUAACUCUGUGCCAGCAGCCGCGGUAAUACAGAGGGUGCAAACGUUGUUCGGAAUUACUGGGCAUAAAGCGCGCGUAGGCGGCGACGUAAGUGUAGGGUGAAAUCCCACGGCUCACCCGUGUGAAUUGCCCCGCAUACUGCGUUGCUCGAGUGUGGUAGGGGAGAGCGGAACUCCUGGUGGAGCGGUGAAAUGCGUAGAUAUCAGGAGGAACACCGGUGGCGUAGGCGGCUCUCUGGUCCAUAACUGACGCUGAAGUGCGAAAGCUAGGGUAGCGAACGGGAUUAGAUACCCAGGUAGUCCCUGAGCGGGCUGGCAAGGCGCAU